GAUGAACGCUGGCGGCGUGCCUAAUACAUGCAAGUCGAGCGAACUGAUUAGAAGCUUGCUUCUAUGACGUUAGCGGCGGACGGGUGAGUAACACGUGGGCAACCUGCCUGUAAGACUGGGAUAACUUCGGGAAACCGAAGCUAAUACCGGAUAGGAUCUCCUCCUUCAUGGGAGAUGAUUGAAAGAUGGUUUCGGCUAUCACUUACAGAUGGGCCCGCGGUGCAUUAGCUAGUUGGUGAGGUAACGGCUCACCAAGGCAACGAUGCAUAGCCGACCUGAGAGGGUGAGCGGCCACACUGGGACUGAGACACGGCCCAGACUCCUACGGGAGGCAGCAGUAGGGAAUCUUCCGCAAUGGACGAAAGUCUGACGGAGCAACGCCGCGUGAGUGAUGAAGGCUUUCGGGUCGUAAAACUCUGUUGUUAGGGAAGAACAAGUACAAGAGUAACUGCUUGUACCUUGACGGUACCUAACCAGAAAGCCACGGCUAACUACGUGCCAGCCGCCGCCGUAA
rnacentral:rRNA from 1 species